rnacentral:misc_RNA from 1 species
UUAAGUUCAGCGGGUAUCCCUACCUGAUCCGAGGUCAAGUCAAAGAAGGGGCUUCUGGAGGACCCGUAUGUCAAGACGCCAGACGCGUUGUACUGCGCUGUAGCCAACAUACCGGCCGCCAAUGCAUUUGAGGUGAGUCCGCCGCGGGCGGGGACAAGCACCCAACACAAGCAGAGCUUGAAGGUACAAAUGACGCUCGA